AACAAAAAAAUAAUCACAACAAAAAAUUAUCAAGUGCUACACAAAAAACUUACUAAUGGAUUUUAAAAACUAAAGAAAACACGUUGUUUGCCAAAAUAAUGAAUAUCUAAUAAGGCUACCUUGAUGACUAGUAAGAAGAAACCAUAAAUGUAACAAGUAUUUCAAAAUAAAAUCUUGGAGACUACCGCAUAAUGCAACAUUAAAUAAUCGUCAACAUAAAUCAAAACUAAAUGCAAAGCAAUUUGGAAAAUAUUACGAAACUAUUGCAGAGAUGACUCAGAGGAAGUCCUUUCAUCCUGCUGGAAUUUCACAACUUUACGGAAAUGGAUUAAACGCGUUUUUGCCCUCCACGCCAGAUGGGGUUGCUUUUUUCUACUUCCUUACCCGAGACGAAUGCAAUUCGCACAACGACUUCUAAUCCAACACAAGAAAGAAAUGGUGCAUACUUACAUAUGGACCAUUAACAGAAACCCGUAAAUCCGAACUUGUGCUGUUUUAUAUCUGUUACAAGACCGGCAUUAUGGGAGUCUGUCAAUGCAAACAACUGGUUUUUGGCAACAAAAUCAAAACAGACAAACUUUAAAGCACAUAAUAAUAGAGGAAAAUUAAAACUAAAACUAAACAAGA